rnacentral:rRNA from 1 species
GACGGGGGAUGCAAGUGUUAUCCGGAAUCACUGGGCGUAAAGCGUCUGCAGGUGGUUUCCUAAGUCCACUGUUAAACCUUGAGGCUCAACCUCAAAUCUGCAUUGGGAACUAGGAGACUUGAGUAUAGUAGGGGUAGAGGGAAUUUCCAGUGGAGCGGUGAAAUGCGUAGAUAUUGGAAAGAACACCGAUGGCGAAGGCACUCUACUGGGCUAUUACUGACACUCAGAGACGAAAGCUAGGGGAGCAAAUGGG